GAUGAACGCUGGCGGCGUGCCUAAUACAUGCAAGUCGAGCGAACAGACGAGGCGCUUGCUUCUCUGACGUUAGCGGCGGACGUGUGAGUAACACGUGGAUAACCUACCUAUAAGACUGUGAUAACUUCGGGAAACAGGAGCUCAUACCAUAUAAUAUAUUGAACCGCAUGGUUCAAUAGUGAAAGCCGGUUUUGCUGUCACUUAUAGAUUGAUCCGCGCCGCAUUAGCUAGUUGGUAAGGUAACGGCUUACCAAGGCAACGAUGCGUAGCCGACCUGAGGGGGUGAUCGGCCACACUGGAACUGAGACACGGUCCAGACUCCUACGGGAGGCAGCAGUAGGGAAUCUUCCGCAAUGGGCGAAAGCUUGACGGAGCAACGCCGCGUGAGUGAUGAAGGUCUUCGGAUCGUAAAACUCUUUUAUUAGGGAAGAACAAAUGUGUAAGUAACUAUGCACGUAUUGACGGUACCUAAUCAGAAAGCCCCGGCUAACUACGUG
rnacentral:rRNA from 1 species